rnacentral:rRNA from 1 species
ACGUAGGGUGCGAGCGUUGUCCGGAUUUAUUGGGCGUAAAGAGCUCGUAGGCGGUUCAGUAAGUCGGUUGUGAAAACUCCAGGCUCAACCUGGAGCCUGCAUUCGAUACUGCUGUGACUAGAGUCUGGUAGGGGAUCACGGAAUUCCUGGUGUAGCGGUGAAAUGCGCAGAUAUCAGGAGGAACACCGGUGGCGAAGGCGGUGAUCUGGGCCAGUACUGACGCUGAGGAGCGAAAGCGUGGGGAGCAAACAGGA